rnacentral:snRNA from 1 species
AUCGCUUCUCGGCCUUUUGGCUAAGAUCAAGUGUAGAAUAACUUGUGGCUCAGUCUCUGGGUUGGAAAAAACAAAACAAAACUUGUCAGAAUAAGAAAGGAGCCAGUGCCUAUAUGUGCAGAACUGUUGAACUGCCAGUUCAAUGGGCAAAAGCUUG